ensembl:lncRNA
AUGUCAUCCAAUGAGCUGAGUGCUCCGGAGCUGGACCCCUGCAUUCGUACCUUUAAGGAGCACAUGCAUUUGGAGCUGGAGCCUCCGAGACUGGGUGCAGGCAACAAGCGCAUCACCUCCCCCAAAAUAUCUCCCCGCAGCUCCCCACGCCUCUUCCGCAAGCUCAUGGUUAACAAGGGCGUCCGCCACAGGCGCCGAUUCACCGUCGCACACACCUGUUUCGAUGUGGAAAAUGGCCCAUCUGCAAGCUGUAGUCCUUUGGACCCCCAGGCCUCACCAGGUUCUGGUCUGGUUCUGCACACAAACUUUCCCGGCCACAACCAGCGGCGAGAGUCCUUCCUCUACCGCUCAGACAGCGACUAUGACCUCUCACCAAAGUCGAUGUCUCGAAAUUCUUCUAUCGCCUCAGAACUGCAUGGGGAUGACUUGAUAGUCACACCUUUUGCUCAGGUUCUAGCAAGCCUUCGAAGUGUCAGAAACAACUUUACUGUCUUGACCAACGAUUUUCACGGUGCCCCCAUUUCUGUGUGUCUCUGUCCAGACGAGUCCUACCAGAAGCUGGCAGUGGAGACCAUGGAGGAGCUGGACUGGUGUCUGGAUCAGCUGGAAACCAUCCAGACGUACCGCUCUGUCAGCGACAUGGCCUCCAACAAGUUCAAGAGAAUGUUGAACAGGGAGCUGACGCACCUCUCUGAGAUGAGCAGAUCUGGCAAUCAGGUGUCGGAAUUCAUCUCCAACACCUUCCUAGAAAAGCAGAAUGACGUGGAGAUUCCCUCACCUACACUUAAAGCCCGCGAGAAGAAGAAAAAGCAGCAGUUGAUGACUCAGAUCAGUGGUGUGAAGAAAGUAUCUCACGGGCCCAGCCUCAACUGCGGCAUUGCUCGCUUCGGCGUCAAAACCGACAAAGAGGAUUUACUGUCAAAAGAAUUAGAAGACCUGAACAAAUGGGGCCUGAACAUCUUUACGGUUUCAGAGUAUUCUCACAACCGGCCUCUCACUUGCAUUAUGUACGCCAUCUUCCAGGAACGAGACUUGCUUAAGACAUUUAAGAUCCCGGCAGAUACUUUUGUGAUGUACAUGAUGACCCUUGAGGAUCAUUACCACCAAGAUGUGGCCUAUCAUAACAGCCUUCACGCUGCUGAUGUGGCCCAGUCAACUCACAUUCUGCUGUCCACACCUGCUUUAGAUGCUGUGUUCACGGAUCUUGAGAUCUUGGCAGCCAUUUUUGCAGCAGCUAUUCAUGAUGUGGACCAUCCUGGAGUUUCAAACCAGUUCCUCAUCAAUACAAACUCUGAGUUAGCGCUCAUGUACAACGAUGAGUCCGUUUUGGAGAACCACCACUUAGCCGUGGGCUUUAAACUUCUCCAAGAGGACAACUGCGACAUCUUCCAGAACCUCACUAAGAAACAGAGGCAGUCACUCCGAAAGAUGGUCAUCGACAUGGUACUUGCCACAGACAUGUCUAAGCACAUGAGCUUACUGGCCGAUCUGAAGACCAUGGUAGAGACGAAGAAAGUGACAAGCUCAGGAGUUUUACUUCUGGACAACUACACAGACAGGAUACAGGUCUUGAGGAACAUGGUUCACUGCGCCGAUCUGAGCAAUCCCACCAAGUCUCUAGAGUUGUACCGGCAGUGGACCGACCGCAUCAUGGACGAGUUCUUUCACCAGGGUGACAGAGAGAGGGAGCGUGGCAUGGAGAUCAGCCCCAUGUGUGACAAACACACUGCCUCAGUAGAGAAAUCACAGGUUAUACCAUAUUUGACGUACAACGUCGAAGAAGAAGACAGAGGGGAAGAAAUGGAAUCCACUACACACAUCCAGAUAGUUACCGAAGACGCAUCACCUGUCGACACAUAG